rnacentral:rRNA from 1 species
GACGAACGCUGGCGGCGUGCUUAACACAUGCGAGUCGAACGGGAUUUAGUAGACAGAAGCCUCGGCUAAAGAUUACUAAUGAGAGUGGCGAACGGGUGAGUAACGCGUGAGCAACCUGCCUAUGACAGUGGGAUAGCCUCGGGAAACCGGGAUUAAUACCGCAUAAAAUCGUAGAAACACAUGUUUUAACGGUCAAAGAUUUAUCGGUCAUAGAUGGGCUCGCGUCUGAUUAGCUAGUUGGUGAGAUAACAGCCCACCAAGGCGACGAUCAGUAGCCGGUCUGAGAGGAUGAACGGCCACAUUGGAACUGAGACACGGUCCAAACUCCUACGGGAGGCAGCAGUGGGGAAUAUUGCACAAUGGGGGAAACCCUGAUGCAGCGACGCCGCGUGAACGAAGAAGGUAUUCGUAUCGUAAAGUUCUGUCCUAUGGGAAGAUAAUGACAGUACCAUAGAAGAAAGCUCCGGCUAAAUACGUG